rnacentral:rRNA from 1 species
GGAAUUCGAUUCGGUGUGACAAGGCCCGGGAACGUAUUCACCGCGGCGUGUUGAUCCGCGAUUACUAGCGAUUCCGACUUCAAGCAGGCGAGUUGCAGCCUGCUAUCCGAACUGAGACCGACUUUCUCCGAUUAGCUCCACCUUGCGGCUUUGCGACGGUUUGUAUCGGCCAUUGUAGCACGUGUGUAGCCCCAGACAUAAAGGCCAUGCUGACUUGACGUCAUCCCCACCUUCCUCCGGUUUAUCACCGGCAGUCUUUGCAGAGUGCCCAGCAUUACCUGAUGGCAACAGCAAACAAGGGUUGCGCUCGUUGCGGGACUUAACCCAACAUCUCACGACACGAGCUGACGACAGCCAUGCAGCACCUCUACGAGUGUCCUUGCGGAAGCCCCCUUUCGGGAGUGGUCACUCGCAGUUCAAGCCUGGGUAAGGUUCUUCGCGUUAAUCACUA